rnacentral:rRNA from 1 species
GAUGAACGCUGGCGGCGUGCUUAACACAUGCAAGUCGAACGGUGAACGAGGGAGCUUGCUCCCUCCGGAUCAGUGGCGAACGGGUGAGUAACACGUGAGCAAUCUGCCCUGGACUCUGGGAUAAGCGUUGGAAACGACGUCUAAUACCGGAUACGAGGCGUGGGGGCAUCCCCAACGCCUGGACAGAACUUCGGUCCAGGAUGAGCUCCCGGCCCAUCAGCUAGUUGGUGAGGUAACGGCUCACCAAGGCGACGACGGGUAGCCGGCCUGAGAGGGUGACCAGCCACACUGGGACUGAGACACGGCCCAGACUCCUACGGGAGGCAGCAGUGGGGAAUUUUGGACAAUGGGCGCAAGCCUGAUGCAGCGACGCCGCGUGAGGGAUGACGGCCUUCGGGUUGUAAACCUCUUUCAACUACGACGAAGCGCAAGUGACGGUAGUAGUAGAAGAAGGACCGGCCAACUACGUGCCAGCAGCCGCCGUAAUAC